rnacentral:lncRNA from 1 species
AUGGUUUUCUCGAGAAACUAGCUAGGAAACUAAGUUUGGUCUGCUAGGAUGAAGUGCUAAAUUAUCUGAUGAAGAAAGAACAAGAGAGGAAAGGAACAACCUGCUCUGCUCUCCAUUUUGUUUGAUCCGGAAUCUGGUCGUUAGUUAUAAAAAGAAAAUUUGGGUUAAGGAUUAGCUGCUAUUGCUUGGCUUAUCUAAGUUUGUUGGUAAGUCUGACUUCCAAGCAGUAAUUGUCGUGUUAAUACUUAAUCUGUCCGUUUCGCUUACCAGUUUUACAUGAAGGGGUCGUUGCUGAAUAAUGCAUGAAUCUUUUUACACUCGAGUAACAUCAUGUAUAUAGCUUCGUUGUAUUUGGUUUGACUUCAGCAGGUCUGAUACGUUUUUUACAACUUAUUGACAACAACUUCCCUUUUUUUAAAAAAAAAAAAUGAACCCACUAGGUGCAACUGGAUCGGCAGGAAACUGGAUUUACAUGCCAUGUUAUCUAAUUGUGCAUAAUAAACAAGUGGUAUCUAUUGUUCUUUUUUUCCAAGACCGAAUAAGAAGCAAGCUCAUCUCAUUGUCACUUACCUAUAGUCAAGAUUUCUUUCUUUCUAUAGAUGUAAUUUAACAAGAAUCAGUCUCGCUAUAUUAAUUUUAAUCCAUAAUUACAUGCCGUAUGCACUUAAUUUUGGGAAACGAUUCAUGGAAGUAGCCAAUAGUUAUGUAGUGUGUCAACAGAACCUUUUGAGGACCAAUGAACACAGCUAAGGUCCUCUUUGAUAUGUGUGAUUCUAAACUGCAAUUUCAUGCCACCUUGGAUCCUGUGAUUGAAUACUGGUGCCCUUAGCUAUGUUUUCAUGUGGGCCUUCUUUCUAGUUCUUUAUCUGUCAUUGAUCAGUGUGGAGUGGUCAAUUUGACUGUUAGGAACUGUCGGAACAUUGUUUGAGCACUGUAAAACAACCUUGUCCCAGAAGUUGUGAUAUUUAUUCUUACUUGAUAUGCCAACCCAAAAGUUAUGGUUUUGUGAUAUUUAUUCUUACUAUAUAGGGCUUUCAGAAAACGGCAGUCAUUGCCAUGCAAACGAAAGAUACAUGAUGUGUUUUUCCUGCUAUUGAUCCCACUUAUCAUUAAUUUGAGAAUGAGAAAAGUAUACUUUUCGUCCCUCAAUUCUUGUCGGAGUCUAGAUUUGGUCCAUCAACUCCAAAACCGGACAACUUGCACCCUUAACUUCUCAAACUGGACAACAUUCAUCCCUGGUCACGGUUUGACCGGUUUUGGUGUUGUCCCACCCCGGUUUUCCGUUCCGACUCAAAUUUGCCUACAGUUUAAGUUCACGUACUGUUUUCAAAUUUGGUUACUUUUUUCAAAUACGUGAACCUUUUAAAAAUUUGUGUACUUUUUUUAAAUCUGCGUACUUUUUUCCAAGUUCAUGUACUUUUUCAAAUAUGCGUAUUUUUUUAAAGUACGUAAAAGUUAAAAAUCACGGAUUUGAAAAAAGUACGCGAAUUUCAGAAUAGUUCGCUGAUUUGGAAAAAAGUAUGUUUAUUUUUUUAAAUACGCGACCUUGAAUAAACUACACGGAGUUGAAAAGUGUAUGUGAAUUUCAAAAAGUUCACGGAUAUAAAAAGAAGUACAGGAAUAUGAGUGAGCACCGGUCAAAACCGGGGUGAGUCAACACCGAAAACCGGUCAAAACCGAGUCCAGGGACGAACCUUGUCCGGUUUCGAUAGUUGGGGGUGCAAGUUGUCCGGUUUUGAAGUUGAGGGACCAAAUCUAGACUUCACCAAGAGUUGAGGGACGAAAAGUAUACUUUUCUCUUUGAGAAUCUUUCCUCCCAGUUUUAGUCAAGUAGACCGUCCCAAGAGAGAAAAAAGAGGACUAGCCCUGGUGCAGCAGUUGCUUGGAGUUCAGAGUGGACUACAUGCGCCGAGAGAAUGAUGCUAGGGAAGCAGAGUAGUUAAGUUGUUGACGUGCGCUCCCAAGGUACGUCGUGCAAUUAACUUGCUGGGAAAAGAAUGGGGCACGUAGUUACUAGUUAGUUUUGCGUGUACUCAAAACUCAAGGGAUGCACUCCUACAGUAUGUGCUCCAUUGUUGUAGCAGCUGCAGUCUCUCGUUUUAACAAACUCUGAGAAGAUUUUGUGAUGGAAUUUUUGGAUGUGCUGCUUCAUACGUAGUGACAACUUAUGGUUAGUG